rnacentral:misc_RNA from 1 species
AUCUACCUCAAGCUUCUCGUCAAGUUGUACCGAUUUCUAUCACGGAGGACUGGUAGUAAGUUCAAUGCUGUGAUACUGAAGAGACUCUUCAUGAGCAAGAUCAAUAAAGCUCCUUUGUCUCUAUCACGUUUGGUUACUUACAUGACUGGAAAGGAGGACAAUAUUGCUGUUGUUGUUGGGACUGUUACCGAUGAUGUUCGAGCUUAUGAAGUCCCAAAAAUCAAGGUUACUGCAUUGAGAUUCACUGAAACAGCUAGAGCUAGGAUUGAGAAGGCUGGAGGAGAAUGUUUGACCUUUGAUCAGCUCGCUCUCAGAGCCCCUCUUGGGCAGAACACUAUUUUGCUUAGGGGUCCAAAGAACUCAAGGGAGGCCGUUAAGCACUUUGGUAAAGCACCUGGUGUCCCACACAGCCACACAAAGCCUUAUGUUCGCGCAAAGGGAAGGAAGUUUGAGCGAGCAAGAGGAAAGAGAAAUAGCAGAGGCUACAAGGCUUGAGGAAGUGCUGAUGUUUGAAUGCACAUUGAUAGAGUUUCCAUUAGAAGUAUUUGCCAACCUACUUUUACCAUUAGUAGUAUCUUGUUGGAUUUUCUUAUUUCAACUUUGUUUCUAUUACACACUCCAGCAUCAUAUUGCUGAUUUUUGAAUGUGUUAUCUGUUUUGCGAAAUUAAUCUCUAUUUAGAGACUGAAUCUUUUAACAUUUACAACAAAGAUU